GAUGAUACUCAAUGGAGUAAGUUAGAUAACUCCUCUCAGCCACUCACUUGGUAUAAGACUCAGUUUGAUGCACCUCCGGGUGAUGACCCUAUCGCCCUGAACCUUGGUUCCAUGGGGAAGGGUGCAGUUUGGGUUAACGGCUGGGGCAUUGGCCGGUACUGGGUCUCCUUCCUCACCGGAAAAGGGGAGCCUUCACAGAAAUGGUAUCAUGUGCCACGUUCCUUCCUCAAGCCAACAGGAAACCUGUUGGUUAUCUUUGAAGAAGAAACAGGAAACCCGGUUGGGAUUAGUCUGGAUGCUGUUUCCAUUACCAAAACUUAACUUUGUUGGUCCAUGCUCAAUUUCUUUCUUUUAUGAGUCCUAGGAACAAUUGUGCAAUGCUUCCAUUAGUAAUUGGUUCAUGUCAAUUGUCCAACAAUCUAAUUCAAGCCAAAGUUAUCUCGCUAUAAAAUUAAUC